rnacentral:lncRNA from 1 species
GUCACCUUGGGGGUGGGCUUUGAGGUAUCCUAUGCUUAAGCUACAACCAAUGAGACAGUUCAUUUCCUGUUUCCUGCCCAUCAAGAUGUAGAACUCUCAGAUCCAGCACUGUGUCUGCCUGUAUUCCACCAUGUCCCACCAUGAUGAUAAUGGACUAAACCUCUGAAAGUUGUCCUGAGUACCUUCCAUGGCAGCCAGUCAGCAUUUUAAGGAGCCCCCUCUGGCAACUGCAAACCUCAGGGCUUGUCUGCGGUUCACUGCCUGUGUUGAAAGAGGAAAAGUUACUGCCCUCGUCCAGACAGUGACUUUGAAGAAGAAGCGAGGCAUUGUGUGUGUGAUUCAGCCCAGUGUGUGCUUGCCUUCCACAGUCAGACUUUCUUAUCACAUCAUCUGAGAUCACCAAAGACCUUGGAAAAUUUGAACCAGCUCCUACAUGCCUCUUGUACUGUAGCUGAUGAGCAAAACCCUUGAAUCUGUUAUCUCAGUGAAUAUCAUUUGAAUACCCCUGCCCUGUCAAGGAAUUUCUGUAAGGAGAUAUGCCAUAAAGUGAGAUGUAAUUUUAAUCUGUUACCGUAAAUUACCAGCGAAGGGGCCCGCCAUGUUUGCGAAGGCAGAUGAAACUUUAGACAUGUAAUGUUGGUGUUUUUUCAUAGACUUUACAAUGUGGCAACUGGCUUUGCUUUUUGGAGUACAUAAAGACUGUGACUCUCUUAGCACACUAGGCAAGUUCUUCACAGAACUAUUACCUCAAAAUAUGGGAUUCAAUUAAGAUUUUUAACAAUUUCACACAAAACUUGGUUUUGAAAAGUGAUGGGUCUAAGUUGUCCCCAAAAGGUAGUAACCCCCCAACCCCUCCCACUCUUAAACAAAGCACUCAUCCUUGCUGCUUUCGCUAUCUGAGACGACAAUGAUUCUCUCCUCAGAGGGCCCACCCCAUGAACACAAGAAGGGAGGCUGUUUUUUCAGAUUGUUUGGGCAAUAAUAAUAACAACACUCUGUUAUAAAGAAGAAAUGCAAGCUGAAACACGGUUCUCUUCACCAGCAAUAGUCUGAUCUUAGAAAGUGUCUGUGGCAUGUGGACUGUAAGCUUCAAUAGGGAAAGGACUAACUCACUUUGUUUUGGGUAAUUGCAUGUUGUACCUUUUAUUCUUCUGUUUAAAUUAAAAAUAAAGAAGAAAAGGGGCGCAAGAACACAAGACAAAGAGACAUAUUAACCAGAUUAUUAUAAGCCCGACAGAGUAGGAAGACUAAAGGAGAAGAGAAACAGGGUUAAUGGCUGACCACCAUGGCCGGUCGCCAUAGAGAGGCAACGAGAGCAUAGGUGGGAGAAGACAAGAGCAGAGCAGAGAAUAGAGGGGAAAGUAGAGAGAGGAGAGAGAGAGAGAGAGAGAGAGAGAGAGAGAGAGAGAGAGAGAGAGA